rnacentral:pre_miRNA from 7 species
UUUUUAGGGUCACUUAUAUAUACUUAUGAAAGACCCCCGAAGGGAGACCCUCACUCAAGCACUCAAGCCCCGGGACAGCCGCGGACCCAAGAAAACACUGAAACCG